rnacentral:tRNA from 1 species
AGGAGUGUAGUUAACUUGGUUAUAAUAGGGAUCUCCAAAAUCCCGGUAGUGGGUUCAAAUCCUACCUCUCCUG